AUACUGUAUUUGUAAGCCAUG
ensembl:piRNA 21ur-700 ncRNA